UCAAACAGGAACUCUCAACCCACGUC
rnacentral:piRNA from 1 species